rnacentral:rRNA from 1 species
UACGUAGGGGGCAAGCGUUGUCCGGAAUCAUUGGGCGUAAAGAGCUCGUAGGCGGCUUGUUGCGUCAGCUGUGAAAACCCGCAGCUCAACUGUGGGCUUGCAGCUGAUACGGGCAGGCUUGAGUUCGGUAGGGGAGACUGGAAUUCCUGGUGUAGCGGUGAAAUGCGCAGAUAUCAGGAGGAACACCGGUGGCGAAGGCGGGUCUCUGGGCCGAUACUGACGCUGAGGAGCGAAAGCGUGGGGAGCGAACAGG